rnacentral:rRNA from 1 species
GCACCAGUGGGGAAUAUUGGACAAUGGGCGCAAGCCUGAUCCAGCAAUACCGCGUGUGUGAAGAAGGCCUGAGGGUUGUAAAGCACUUUCAAUAGGGAGGAAAACCUACCGGCGAAUACCCGGUAGCUUGACAUUACCUAUACAAGAAGCACCGGCUAACUCCGUGCCAGCAGCCGCGGUAAUACGGAGGGUGCAAGCGUUAAUCGGAAUUACUGGGCGUAAAGCGUGCGUAGGCGGUUAAUUAAGUCAGAUGUGAAAGCCCCGGGCUUAACCUGGGAACUGCAUUUGAUACUGGUUAACUAGAGUUUAGUAGAGGAGAGUGGAAUUUCAGGUGUAGCGGUGAAAUGCGUAGAUAUCUGAAGGAACACCAGUGGCGAAGGCGACUCUCUGGACUAAAACUGACGCUGAGGUACGAAAGCGUGGGUAACAAACAGGAUUAGAUA